rnacentral:rRNA from 1 species
CCCUUAGAUGUUCUGGGCCGCACGCGCGCUACACUGUUCGACGCAGCGAGUCUUAACCUUGACCGAAAGGUUUGGGUAAUCUUCAGCAAAGUCGAACGUGAUGGGGAUCGAUCAUUGCAAUUAUUGAUCGUGAACGAGGAAUUCCUAGUAAGUGCAAGUCAUCAGCUUGCGCUGAUUACGUCCCUGCCCUUUGUACACAACGCCCGUCGCUACUACCGAUUGAAUGGUUUAGUGAGAUCUCUGGAUUGACGCUGGCUAGGGGGCGACCCUUGGCCAGACUGUUGAGAAACUGCUCAAACUUGAUCAUUUAGAGGAAGUAAAAGUCGUAACA